AUGAAGAUUUUUACAAAUUCUUCAAUGUAUUGUAGGGCUGAUAAAAAAAUAAUCUGUGCUGCCGGCAAAAUUGCAACAAUGGCUAAAAUACUGGAAACCCCUGUUCGUAACUCAGCUCCGAACAAAAUAACCCGCUCGGCCCUGUCACAAACCUCCAAGCUGCUCUCUGACGUUAAUGGAACUAAAGGAAAUUACAUGCAACAUGCCAGGCCAACUGCGAUGGAAAAUCAUGACGAAAGUGUGGGUCAUAAUCCUCCAACCCAGAGACGCAUCCCUUGUAGUUUACAGCAGCAGCUUGAGGCUGUUGAAAACCAGUCAGCCCCAGUUCCCCAAACCCAGCUUGAUGAGAAAGCCUUUCAGCAAUUGACUGACCCUUCAGUUAUUACUGAUGACAAAACUAGAAGCCACCACCAACCUCCUCUUGUUCCAUUCCAGAACCAUCCUCUAUGUUUUUCCGAAGGGAAAUUCCAAGGCAUCAGUCCAAUUAGCAGUACAGAUGGUGGUUCUGACCCAGGGGCAACUUGUGUACGAUUUAAGAACUUAAGUGAAAGAUUGGCGAUGAAGGAACAUAGCUGUCCUCAGUCUGUUAGCCAUCAGAAAGAACCCUCUAUCUUUGAAAUCCGGGAGACUCCAGUAAGAGAUGAAAGUUGCUCUUCUGACUGGAGCUUGGUGAGUGAUACUCUCCAAAUGGACAGCAAUGGUGCAUUGAUUCUAUACCCAAUUAAUAAACCACAUUCCGGGCCACCACUGGAAUCCUGUCCACAGUUCCCCACUCCAAAUCUCUUUUCUCAUGGCAAGGAAAAUUCACAUAUGUUUUGCCACCCGUCUGCUGGUCGUGAAAAUGGGUCCCUCAUUGCAAAGAGACAGGACAUUGAUUACAAAGAAGGCCACCAGACUGCGAAUCCUGGAGAAAUGCCAUAUCCAAACUUGGAAGAAUUAAAACCUCUAAGUGGUGCUGCAUUAUGUUCAACAGAAGGGAAAAGCUACAACCCGCUGCAUUCAAGGAAACAGGUGGAAGAUGUUAUAACUUUUCAUCAAGAUAGUGGCUUUGACAGCCCACAAAUCCACUUUGAUUAA
rnacentral:lncRNA from 1 species